GAUGAAGAACGUAGCGAAAUGCGAUAAGUAAUGCGAAUUGCAGAAUUCCGUGAGUCAUCGAAUCUUUGAACGCACAUUGCGCCCUCUGGUAUUCCGGGAGGUAUGCCUGUUCGAGCGUCAUUUGUACCCUCAAGCUCUGCUUGGUGUUGGGUGUUUGUUCCGCCUCUGUGUGUGAACUCGCCUCAAAACAAUUGGCAGCCGGCGUACUUGUUUCGGAGCGCAGCACAUUUUGCGAUCCAGAUCAACGUACAGCGGCAUCCAAGAAGCCUUAUUUAACGCUCUUGACCUCGGAUCAGGUAGGGAUACCCGCUGAACUUAAGCAUAUCAAUAAGCGGAGGA
rnacentral:misc_RNA from 1 species